rnacentral:lncRNA from 1 species
GGUUAGGGUAAACUGUUAAGAUUUAAAACUUACUCAUUUUACCUUCCACCAUGGGGCUUGCAACCGUCACUUGUGUCUUGAGUAGUUAAAAGAUAGAACGAUCUAGUCAAGCGUCAUGUCUCUUGUUCUUCGAUUAACUAUAGCUCUGGAGUUUUUGUAGAUUUUUAAAUAAAACUCAGAGAUUCCUUGUAUGACUCUCUCUAGUCUCUCUUUUGUGGUAUUUCUGGAUCCUUACCAAGGCAAUAAUGGUGUAUGCCUUCUCUCAAAGUAUGUGGUAUUUUUGGUAUGAGGCAUAGUGGCAUUGCCUACUCUCUCACCCUACUCUAAUAAGGUUUUGAUAUCUGGAGCUCAUAGGUAGGAGACAGCUAAUACAUACUUACAAGACAUUUAUUGCAUAGUCAAACCAUGGAUCCAGAAGAACAAGUCAAUAAGUCAAAUCAAGAUGUGCAUGUGUGGCGAAUGAAUGGUGAUAAUGGUGAAUGUAAUGGUGAAAGUCUAAUUCUACUUUUGCUCUUUUGAGGGGGUACAUACCUUUCUUGCUCUUUUGAAACUUUUUGAGGAGAAUGAGAUGCUCUAUAUUUUCUUUUUCUUUUCUCUCAGGUGGGUAUCUUGUACCCCUAAUUCUACUGUCGGACACUUAUCCAUUUUUACCUCUCGUCUUACUUUUUCUUUUCUUUCGAGUUUCCGGGCACUUGCCCCUUUUUAUUUCCUCGCAUCUUCUCUUUUUUUUAGAGCAUUCAUCUCUUGAAAUAAUAUUGCAAGUGGUAGUAACCAAGAUAACUUGAGCAUUUAUUUCACGGGAAAUAACAGGGAUAUGAUAAUGUUUUUGGCUAUUCUCUCCUAGAUAGGAGUAGAAUAAUUUUGAAUGAAUCUGGAGAUGAAAUGGGUGGAUAUAUGUGGAUGCGUACUUCUUGAGUAGAAGCAGCAUGUAUGAGUGAACGUGCAAGUGAAUCUUGAUUUAACCACAUGACAAGCUCCUAAGGGUCUACACAGCUUGACCACACUCAAUGCUCAUAAGGAGUAAAAAGUAAAUGUGUGGCUCAAAGUCUAGCAAGCAUGUAUAUAUGGCUGUGGUAAUUAUUUUAACUCUCAUCAUACAGG